rnacentral:rRNA from 1 species
GACGAACGCUGGCGGCGUGCCUAAUACAUGCAAGUCGAACGAACCGCGACUAAGUGCUUGCACUUGGUCAAGGUGAGUGGCGAACGGGUGAGUAACACGUGGGUAACCUACCUCAUAGUGGGGGAUAACAGUCGGAAACGACUGCUAAUACCGCAUAGGACAUAGGAUCACAUGAUCCAGUGAGGAAAGGUGGCGCAAGCUAUCGCUAAGAGAUGGACCCGCGGUGCAUUAGCUAGUUGGUAGGGUAAAGGCCUACCAAGGCGAUGAUGCAUAGCCGACCUGAGAGGGUGAUCGGCCACAUUGGGACUGAGACACGGCCCAAACUCCUACGGGAGGCAGCAGUAGGGAAUCUUCCGCAAUGGACGCAAGUCUGACGGAGCAACGCCGCGUGAGUGAAGAAGGUCUUCGGAUCGUAAAGCUCUGUUGUUAGAGAAGAACAGCGCAUAGAGUAACUGUUAUGCGUGUGACGGUAUCUAACCAGAAAGCCACGGCUAACUACGUG